UCUCCGUUGGUGAACCAGCGGAGGGAUCAUUAUCGAGUUUAUAACUCCCAAACCCUAUGUGAACUUACCACUUGUUGCUUCGGCGCGCGCUUCGGUGCCGCCGAGGACACUUAAACUCUUUGCUUUUAUAAGCAUUUCUGAGUGGCCGAAAGGCAAAAUACAAAUGAAUCAAAACUUUCAACAACGGAUCUCUUGGUUCUG
rnacentral:misc_RNA from 1 species